rnacentral:rRNA from 1 species
CCUACGGGGGGCAGCAGUGGGGAAUAUUGCACAAUGGGGGAAACCCUGAUGCAGCGACGCCGCGUGAGUGAAGAAGUAUCUCGGUACGUAAAGCUCUAUCAGCAGGGAAGAUAAUGACGGUAACUGACCAAGAAGGCCCUGCUAACUACGUGCCAGCAGCCGCGGGAAUACGUAGGGGGCACGCGUUAUCCGGAUUUACGGGGUGUAAAGGUAGCGGGGACGGCAGAACAAGUCUGGCGUGAACUCCCGGGUCUUAACCCCGGAACUGCUUUGGAAACUGUGCAGCUGGAGUGCAGUGGGGGUAAGCGGAAUUCCUAGUGUAGCGGUGAAAUGCGCAGAGAUUAGGAGGAACACCGGUGGCGAAGGCGGCUUACUGGACUGUAACUGACGUUGAGGCGCGAAAGCGUGGGGAGCAAACAGGAUUAGAUACCCGAGUAGUC